rnacentral:rRNA from 1 species
GACGGUACCUGAGGAAGAAGCCCCGGCUUAYUACGUGCCAGCAGCCGCGGUAAUACGUAGGGGGCGAGCGUUGUCCGGAUUUACUGGGCGUAAAGCGCGUGCAGGCGGUUCAACAAGUUCAGAGUGACAGUCACCAGCCUAACUGGUGAAGGGUUCUGAAAACGAUUGGACUGGAGAGCGAGAGAGGGACCUGGAACUCCGGGUGGAGCGGUGAAAUGCGUAGAGAUCCGGAAGAACACCACUGGCGAAGGCAGGGUCCUGGCUCGUAUCUGACGCUCAGACGCGAAAGCAAGGGGAGCGAACGGGAUUAGAUACCCUGGUAGUCAAGGGCG